rnacentral:rRNA from 1 species
UGGGGAAUAUUGGACAAUGGGCGAAAGCCUGACCCAGCAACGCCGCGUGAAGGAUGAAGUCUCUCGGGAUGUAAACUUCGUAAGAAUAGGAAGAAUAAAUGACGGUACUAUUUGUAAGGUCCGGCUAACUACGUGCCAGCAGCCGCGGUAAUACGUAGGGACCAAGCGUUGUUCGGAUUUACUGGGCGUAAAGGGCGCGUAGGCGGCGUGGUAAGUCACUUGUGAAAUCUCCGAGCUUAACUCGGAACGGUCAGAUGAUACUGCUGUGCUAGAGUACAGAAGGGGCAAUCGGAAUUCUUGGUGUAGCGGUGAAAUGCGUAGAUAUCAAGAGGAACACCUGAGGUGAAGACGGGUUGCUGGGCUGAUACUGACGCUGAGGCGCGAAAGCUAGGGUAGCAAACGGGAUUAGAUACCCGAGUAGUCCCUGAGCGGGCUGGCAAGGCGCAU